rnacentral:lncRNA from 1 species
CCUUGACCCUUCAUUUGGCGGUUGACGAGAUGAGGUGCUGCUCAAUUGCACACUCGAGGUCGACGGGUUGGAACAACAGGAGACAACCGGUGAAACUCAUGCUACAGUCCCGACAUUCCUGCGCUGGGGUCGCUUUUUUGCUGCAGUUCUCUUCCAUCUGUCUAUUAAAUGGAGUCCCUCGAGUGAAACUGCCGGGUUCUAGGGCGUCUGGCUCUAUCACCGAGCUUCUGGCGUCUCCGACCGAAAACGUAACAGGGAGAAAGACGAAAACAGGUCCAGUGAAGACUUGAGGCGAACCCAAGAUGCUUCCAAAGUCUCUUCGUUGCUCCACACAUAUCCUGCCUAGGCUGACAGCUGUACUAGCUCAAACCCGUGAGGGGCGGGCAAGAAACAUACUGGCGUGGCAUCCUAUGUCCGAAAACUGCCACGCCCUUUCGACCUAUCCAAAUGGCACUUGCUUUCAGUUGGUACUUUUCCUCCGUUCGACUGCCAAUAUGGCAGCAGAUAAGGCUAGCCGCCGUGCGUUUCGCCCCCGUCUCUGUUUUCGUAGGGGAAUCUGUCCCUACAGGUUUUGUUCUACACAGGUUCCGUGUUCCUGGGCGACUCGUAGCACACCAUCGACGACUGGGAACUGCACUAUCUCAACAUCAAACACGUUUUUAUUUCGGUGGGGAAACCCGCUUUUGUUCCGAUUCUUUGGCAUUUCUUAGAAUUUGCGCUGCACCUCAACACAGACGUUCGCCUUCGCCCGAGUCCACAGCCUUCAGGUUCGAAGGCGGUAUUUAGACAAUGCAGUAAGCACCCUCUCAGCGUUGCCUCAGAGCAUCAGGCCAUUAUUUCUCGAUACGUUUUCUACAAGGGAAUGGUGGUGCACGGGUUACCACCGUGGAAACGGCAUUUUUCCAGCCUCGUGCAGUUGAAGGUGGUGUUUUUACCAUGCCUCAGAGCAUCAGGCCAUUAUUUCUCGAUACGUUUUCUACAAGGGAAUGGUGGUGCACGGGUUACCACCGUGGAAACGGCAUUUUCCCAGCCUCGUGCAGUUGAAGGUGGUGUAUUUACCAUAGCGGGUACGAACCUUCCACAAAAGGAGCUGCUACUGAAAAAACGGAAGGUUCGACGCUAAAUACCACUACCUUUCUUCAUACAGAGUUUGAGAAGGUGAGGAAACUGGCAACUCAACCGAGUCACUCUCUCUAACCG